CACCAAGUGAUUGAGAAAGAAACCCAUGACCGAGGUUACUAGGCACCUUCCUUUAGCAGCCCCUUGUGGAAAGAACUUUGCGUGGAGAUGGAAUUGAAUAACUUCAAAGGAGCUUAAAAUCUCAAUCAGAGCAGGAUCACUGUGGGGCAAAAAAAGGAGAAGAUCCCAAAUGCAUUCCGGUUCUGGCAGUCUAUGAUUUGAGCAUGGAGAAAAUGGGGUUCCUUCAAGAAGAGGCUGGAAAGAAGGAUUAGCACAAGACCACAAGAUCACAAAAAGCCUUGCCCGCUAUGCUCAGGCAGUUGAACUUUAGCUGGAAGGAAGCCACAAAAGGGAGAUAAUAUAAGCAGGUCACUGGGCUAGCAAAGCACCCUGAAGAAUUGAAUGAAUAAAAAAUGCAUGGGAGGGGAGAGAAGAGGAGUCCAAAGACGAAAUUAUUCCAUCAGUCCCCAAGCAGGAGGUCAUGGCAAUGGUUGGCCGCCUGUCCUAGAAGGAUCCACACUUCCCGGUGACCCAGACAUCCCAAGCUCCCAAAUUAAGCAUCUGCACCUCCUUAAUCAGCUUCAAAGAGGGACUUUCAGAAUGCCACUGUUCCAGCAGCUUCCUCAGCCACCAUACCUGCUCCACCAUCAGCUCAGCCAGGCAAGAAUUCCCACAGAUUUUUCACUGGACUGUAGUUAAAGAUGAAAAAGUCACAUCCAGACCUCUGAUUUAUGACGUGGCAUGAACUCAACACUUUUCUCAUAUUCUUGAGUCCGACAAAAAUGAGCAAACACAGAUAUAUAAAACUGGAACUGAGAAAAUAUUGGGUGCCUUUCAAAACACCUACAUAGGACACUCCUUGACUAUCCUGCAACCUGGGGUGGUGGGCUCAGUGACAGGCAGGGCACUGUUCCAUUGACUGUGGCUAAGGACACAUUUCUGAAAAGAGUUGCCAGCCCAUGUCACUGGUACCUGACUUCACUCUCAUCCUUUCCUCCAGGAUGCUUAACCCUGGGUGUGUGUGUACACAUGCAACUCCUCUGCCAAGAACACCCUUCCCCCAGCCUUUUUUUAGUUGUUCAUAAAUACAGAUCAUUUUUUCAUCAAAUGAACAGAGGAAUGAGUGAAUGACAGCUGUUUCUUGCAAUCCAGCAACUGGAAGUCAACUUUGCCUCAUAUAACAGCAACAAAAUCUUGGAUUCAGGGAACUGAAAUGCAGAAUUUUCAAUAAUCAGAAUGACAUCACUUUUGCUGUAUCCUGUUCUUCCGAAGUCGAUCACUAGCUCCAGCCCAGACUCAAGAGGAUUACAGAAAAGCACCAAUCUCCAUCAUCCUUCCUAGAACAUGGAUAUAACGGCUAGAGUUCUGGCAGCCAUCUUGGGACAUGCAGAUCAGAACCACAACCUAGGGAUGGUGGAUCAGAAAAGAGGAAGGAGGAGCCACAGUCCCUGAGUUGUCUCAGAUGGCUUGACUCUUCAGAAAGAGCCUUUCAGCCCCUUUGCCAGAAGAAUUGUCAGCAGAGUCACUCAAGACAGAAUCAUCACAGCUGCAAUGUUAAUAAACAUUUUGUGCUGCA